GUUGGCAAGUUUAUCUUCAUCUAUUUCACAGUUGUGAUUGCCUUUAGAUGUGGACUAAUAAGCUUCUACAGUAUUUCCAAGAAUGAGAAUUUUGCAGCCUCUUAGAGACCACUGGGACAUUGUUCUGGGCUGCCUUUGGUAUCGGGAACUCUCAGGCACCAGCUAUUAAAGAAGAAACAAAUAGCUGUCAGGAUAAUGGUGACUCAGAGAUAACAGUGUGCUGCUGAAAGUCAUUGAGGUGGUUGGCUACAUUUUGUAUGGAUUAUCUUUCUUGACGCUGUCGUGGUCUUGAUCAACAUGUUCAUUGCUAUGAUGAAUUUGAAGACAUUCAGAAUGUCCAAAAGAUUGGUCAGCUAAGAAUCCUAAAAUGUUGGCCUGUUUACAAAUAUGAGAUCUUCCUUGACUACACAAGUACCUUACAGAAGAAGGGUACUCACUUGUGUUUGGAUAUGCCUGCUAGAUCAAGGCUUUCUUAGACUGGAUAUUUAUAUAGCCUAAUAUUAUGUUACUGACAAUUAUCUAAGUAUGUCCUGUACAAGCAUCAAUGACUGUAAGAUAAUUAAAGAUAUUCAUGAUUAUAAGAGAAGUAGAAUGGAAUGAAAAAGUUGGCAGCUGUUUUGGUAAUAAAUCAAGUGUUGUUUUUCUAAUAUCUGUAAUAUUUGUAGAUUCUUAAGUUAGAAAAUGUUUGUUUUUUGCCUGUCAAUUCUGUUUAGGUUUUAUUCUUUUUUUUUGUAUAUAGUCCCUAUGGCCCUAAGUGAUGGUCAAGCACAACAGAUAUUAUUCUAAGCAGCUUUAUUUUACUGGGAAAUAUUCAACCACAUAAGCUGUGAGGGAGAUCUGAAAGCCAUUGCUUACUUGUCUAGAAGACUUCCAUCCAUUGAGUGGUAAAAGAUUUAGAUUAAUUUUAUACACCACAUAACAUAUUUUUAUGCUCAAGACAAUACUGUUAAUGAAUGUUUUUUAUGCUGAGAGUGUCCAAGAAAGAUAAAGUUAAGGUCAAAGGUUAAUUAGAGUUGUUUUUUUUUAAUGCUGUGAUGCUGUUAAAUUUUCCUUGUGUUUUUGUAAGAGUUUAAAGACAUUACCCAUUUUAUUUGUUUUACAAAUGUAGGACCAACGAGUUAAUAAGUAAGUCUUACAUUGUUGUUGUUUUUUAUUUACCAGGUAUUCAUUUACUUUGACUGUUGACUUAAAGUUAGAAAUUAAACAAAGAUUUCUUUAAGCUAUAUUUGUCAAUGACCAUAGGCAUUAAAGAAAGUUGACACAGCUAAUUGUACUUUUCAACAAGAUAUGUCAAGAAAUUAAGAGAUUUUGAUGGAAUUCUGUGGUUGAAUAAUCACAUGUAAAAUGAAUCACAGGAUUCCAUCAAAAAUGUAAAAUGCUAAAGAAAUUUUAAAAGAAUAAAAUAUAAUCCAUGAGAACGGAUACCAGUACAGGUGUUUAGACCUAAGAAGCAAUGAUAUCUGGAUAUGUUUUUAUUUGAAACCACUGGCAUGUAUUUUACUUGUUACUAAUAACUUAAUUUACUUUUUAAUAUUUGCAUUAUCAACUGUAGUUUUCUUUUUAAGAGUUCUUUAUGAAAAUGUUACCACUGAAUACUUCUGUAUUACUAGACUUUAUUCAACUAUGCUUUGUAAAUGAAAUGGCAUAUUCUUUGUAUUACAUAAUAAAGGUUUUUAUAGAUAUAUGUUAAAACAUCUUAAAUUUAAUGUAGUUUCUGCACUGAAUA
rnacentral:sRNA from 1 species